AUUGAACGCUGGCGGCAUGCCUUACACAUGCAAGUCGAACGGUAACGCGGGGCAACCUGGCGACGAGUGGCGAACGGGUGAGUAAUGCAUCGGAACGUGCCCAGUAGUGGGGGAUAGCCCGGCGAAAGCCGGAUUAAUACCGCAUACGACCUACGGGUGAAAGCGGGGGACCGCAAGGCCUCGCGCUAUUGGAGCGGCCGAUGUCAGAUUAGGUUGUUGGUGGGGUAAAAGCCUACCAAGCCGACGAUCUGUAGCUGGUCUGAGAGGACGACCAGCCACACUGGGACUGAGACACGGCCCAGACUCCUACGGGAGGCAGCAGUGGGGAAUUUUGGACAAUGGGGGCAACCCUGAUCCAGCCAUGCCGCGUGCGGGAAGAAGGCCUUCGGGUUGUAAACCGCUUUUGUCAGGGAAGAGAAGCUCUGGGCUAAUACCUCGGGGUAAUGACGGUACCUGAAGAAUAAGCACCGGCUAACUACGUGCCAGCAGCCGCCGCAGUAA
rnacentral:rRNA from 1 species